rnacentral:lncRNA from 10 species
GUCCAUACAACAAAAUUACAAUAAACAUUUAUUAAGCUGUAAUUUUCACAAUAUUUUAAUUCUGUUCUGAGAUCUACAAAUAUCUCUACAUAACACCAAAGCCAGUGAUUUAAUAAAUAAGAGGAAUGUAUAUAUCGCUUUGCAAAAAAAUGCCUGAUACAUUUAUCUCUAUAUAAGAUAUUUGUAGAAUCAGUUUCCCAAGGCUCACGAAACUAAAGUGCACACACACACACACACCAUGUACACACACACACUAUUCAAAUCAAAUGGAUUUAUAUUAAGUGCCAAAUUAAAUGCUAUACAAAAUUUAUAACCAGAUACACAAAAUAUGAAGUCAAUCAUGAAUCCACUGUUGAUAAUGGAUACCAUACCUCACAAGUGUGAUUUCCAGUUAAGAAGAGGGAGACAAUUGCUUCAUUGGGUUUUUAGUGUGUGCUAAUCACCAUCACCAUCACAAGUUAAUCAGUUUAAUUACAUGGUAUUCAGAGAUUAAACACACAUGCAGAUAUUAAAUGGACACUACAAUAAAACCUUUAAAUCUGCAAAAAGACAUGAGAACACAUGGUCAAUAAUACCACUCGCUGCCACAGCUUUUCAGUAGACAAUGCAAAUGGCAAUCAGCGUUUUAAGCCACCACAAGAGAAAAACUGGUACUGGUGCACCUCCUACAUAUCAAGGAAAAGCAAAACACAGAAUAAUUUAAUAUGCUGAAUAAAAUUUGUUUACACCAGAUACUAUACAUCACACUGAUGGUUGUCCAGUAUGAAUUUUAAGGGUAUUAUGUUAGAUUCUGCAAAAUAUAUUCCUAUUAUUCACAAGUGAGGAGUCAAAGUCCAACUAUUCAAAUCCUCUCUACAAGGCAGCCCUCCCGGGCAUGCACAAAGUCAUAUUAUAGUCUUCCUAAUCACUGACCCAAACCUUUGCGUUCUUACUCAGCUCCCCAGAGGGGACCACCCCACUUGGUUACCACCAUCACAGUCAUAAAGACAUAGUCCCAGUUCCCUGACAUCGCUGCCUCCCGACUCCUGCAUGAGACAGGCUCUCAUUUCUGGGGUAAGUGUAUGAAACACCUUUCAACGGCAUUCACUUACCCUUUGUGAAUUAAGACACAGGCACGAUUCACAAGGUCUGCUUCCCAGAAAUUCUAUUGCUGUGCUCUGUUACCAGAAAUGAUAUGGGGGCUGAAAUCCAAAGCAAAAGAAACCAAAGGGCGGGUAAUGCCGACUGGUAUUGGAAAGUGUGUGUGUGUGUAUAUAUAUAUACAUAUAUAUACACACACACACACUUUUUUUUUUUUUUGAGACUGGGUCUCACUCUGUCGCCUCAACUGGAGUACAGUGGUGUGAUCUCAGUUCACUGCAACCUCUGCCUCCCAGGUUCAUACAAUUCUCCCACCUCAGCCUCCUGAGUAGCUGGGACUACAGGAACCCACCACCACACCUGGCUAUUUUUUUUUUUUUUUUUUUUUUUGUAUUUUUUGGUAGAGACGGGAUUUCACUAUGUUGGCCAGGCUGGUCUCGAACUCCCGACCGCAAGUGAUCCACCCGCCUUGGCCUCCCAAAGUGCUGGGAUUACAAGCUUGAGCCACUGCACCCAGCCUGGAAAGUAUAUUUAUGAAAGGUUUGCACUCCACAAAAGCAUCUUUGCUAGGGUGUCAAGGAAGAGAUCACUAAACCAACCCCAACACAUCCAUACAAUUCCAGCAAUCUAGAGAGGGCUGGUCCUUUUCCUUUUCUGGAUUAUUUUCUGUUCUCAGUAAAACAAGUAUUUACUGUGAUACUGAAACACUGGGAAAUUAACACUGAUUAAGAUAUUUUAAACACUGAGUCUUAAUUAUAACAGAACCAGUUUUCAUCAGAAUGCUUUUACGUCACAUUCAGUGAAGUGUUACGCUAAUAUAUUCUACAGCCCUGAAGAUAGAAAAAAGGUUUCUCUCCAGGUAUGAGAUAUGGUACAAAAAUACAUUUUUCCACAUACAAAAGAGAGAAAAAAACAAAGACAUGUGGCGGGUGGCGAGGGGAGGCCCAAUCCCAACACCCUACAAGGUUCCAUGGAAUGGAGAAGGAACAAAAAAAUCCCCAAUUAUUUUGGGGUAAGAUGUGCCCCAGAAAAGGUGAAAUCUAUGCAAUAAAACCCAGGUUUUCUUCAAAUCUAGCAUCUAGGAUUUCUAUCAGAGUUUCAAAUAAUCAGAAUUUCUAUCAGAAUUUCUACCCUGAGGUGACACCUACUAACUGUAGGUUCUUUCAUUAAAAAUGAAGACAUCUUUCACCAGAAUGUAUCAAGCUAUAAAACUGGCUUCAGAGCCUACACUUAGCCAGAGUGGAAAAAAAAAAUAGUGCAUAUUUUCGACAGCAAUUUUGAAUUGAUGCUUGAGGUCUCAAUCCACCAGCACCCAGAUAUCAUGUUACCUCCCUCAGUUGAAUACAAGUUAAAAUGAUGAUCUUAUCGAGAUCUCAAUAGAGCACAGUGCCCUUCAUGUUUCGGGUAAGAGGGUGGGAGGAGGAAUGAAGCGGGUAUUACACCCAGCCCAGUGACAGCUUAAGCCUUAACAUGCGGGCAUCUUACAAUGACCAUAAACAAGGGAGGGGCCAAGGCAGGGCUGGCGAUCAUUAGCUUUGCGCACAGAAUGCCAUGUUUUCCCCUGGCCAACAUAAGCAAAGCUGUUUUAGUACCUAAACGUGGUAUAGCCAAAUGCACAAAAGGAAAGAAGAUAGAGAUGACCUCCCGAGUUAUUUAUACCUUGUGCUAAAAUAGAUUCAUCUACAAGUAUCUAAAUGACAAAACUAGAAUGAUUUCAACCCAGUAAUCCUGUGUUCCAAUGUGCAUGGAUAAAGAUUUGAUC